GAACCCCUCCCCUCUGUUACCAAGGGUGAGAGAUAUUGUGGCUUCUUCUUGGAUAUCUGAAUGGUGGUGAGAUCAACCUCUGGGCCAGCCAAGUAUGGAACUCAAUCCAAAACAACGGACUUCUUUUGUUUCGUGUCAGUUCAGCUUCCUACAAACAAAAUUAAAGCAGCAUUGGUUUAGUAAUUGGAAAUGCAUAUCAAAGAAAAGAAGCUUAACUCAAAACAGAUUUUCCUAACCAUCUUCAAUGUACAUGUGUAGGAGAAAUGCAUUCUUUAUUUGUAGCAGUGCAAAUGUCAGUGAUUACAAACAUGUGUGUGACUGUUUGCCAGCAAUUUGUUCUUGCCCUUGGAUGAUCAGACCCUUACGGAAUCUAGGCAGACUGUGGAACUUCCAUUGGCUUCCACUGGCUUUGGUGUGAAAUAUAGAGAUAUGAGUAGUGGUGACAAGAGGGGACACGGGAAAGGCCCGUGGGAAUAGGCCUUUGAGGGGAAGCACGCUGAUCUCUUGUUCUGCAGCGCAUGCUUGGGAUGGUAUGCGCAUGCCUUCUCUCACUAAGACUAGGACUGCUUACAGAAUGCGAAUAUAAGUAUCCUUAUUUGGGAGAAAAGUACAUUUUCAAGGGCUGGUAAAAUGACGUGGAGGAAGGGAGGAUCCAGGGAGCCUUCUGAAGAGUAUUGUCAGGAUGUCUCUUCUCUUUCAGCCACCUGGAUAUGUUUCACAUUUUGUUUCCCAAACAAGGACUAGAUUGGAUCCCAGAAGGGAAUGGUUUCCUUAGUAUACAUUCCGAAUUCCUUUGUAAGGGAAAAAUCCACUU
rnacentral:lncRNA from 1 species